rnacentral:rRNA from 1 species
UGUUGUGAGUAUACCAGCAAUAACGCACCGGAUCCCAUCAGAACUCCGAAGUUAAGCGUGCUUGGGUGAGAGUAGUACUAGGAUGGGUGACUCCCUGGGAUUUGCUCGAUGCGCUCAUUCU